CUCUGAGGCCAGGCGUGUGUCAGGGGUGUCCCCGCAUGGAGGCCUAGAGAGGCCAUUGUGGGAAGCCUGGAGACCCCAAGAUGUUGGGAGAUGCCAGGAGUGUGUGACACCUGCCCAGGAGAGCUGCUAACAGGGUGUGGAACCAGCCCGAGAGAAAGAAGUGUGUUGCAGUCAACAGCACAGAAAAGGAGCUGGAGAUCCGGUGAGCAUUCUUGACAUGAGACAUGGAGAUGCAGAGUUCGGGUCCACCCAGUCUGCUCAUUGCAUUUGGCUGCUAAGUCUCUUCUUCAGUGUCUCUCAAUCCCAUCUAACCUGGAGGAGACCUCUUCCCCACUGACAUGGGACUCUUGAGACAACAAACCCCAAGAUGUUGGAAUUUCCUCAUGAGUCUCACACUGUACGAAGGAGCGGCCUGAAGCCUGGUCUCAGCCAAAGGGUGAGCUUGUCUCCCAGAAAGAGUCAUGUACUUGUGACAACUUGUCAGCUGCCUUGCAGGGCCGGCCGGAGUCCAGACAGUGGUGACGGGAUUGCCUCCUGACUGACAUCACACGCUGGCCCUCUAAGUCUAAAAUGUUGAAUCGGGGCUUAGAAGAUGAACUUUAGGAGUCACAGGACCUCUUUGAUGCCCUUCCCAAUGUGGUCACGUUGAAUAAAUUUCUUUCCUCUGCUUUCACUAUUAAUUGGCCCAUUGAGGAAGGGCUGGCAGAGCCUCCCUUGUUAACGCCACCAAAGUCCACACCCUCGGCCUAACAACCCUAGUGACACUAUCUAGGCUUCCUGGGCGAGCGACACAUCGGGGACUCCUGUCAGUACAGCAAAGGGAAGCGAGAUGCAGCCCCCG
rnacentral:lncRNA from 1 species